UGUGCGAAUGAGGGGUUUUUGCUUCCCUGGAACUUAUUAUUGAAAUUAUGAAUUAUGCAUUCAACGCGCCGGCCACCCAAAACGGGUGGCCCAACUAAUUUGAAUAUAAAUUUAACUCAUAAAUAUAUAUAAGACGAGGCCCAGCGCAGCCGGCGCCAGUCCUGAAGUAACCAUCCCAACAAACAUGAAACAUAAAGCAAAUAAUCAACAAAAACACCAACUACUUGGCCGAAACAAGACGACAUCAGGUCAAGCAGUCAAGACAACAACCGCAAAAACAACGCCGGCAACUGUGGCAAAAGUACUUCAACUUUUAUGGCCAAGAUCCAAGGAGUCGGAGUCGAGUCGAGUGGAGUGGUCCAAGCUUUCCGUGUUGCAACAUAUUUUUCUUUUUCUGACCACUUUUCGGAUUCUGCCCACUGGAGGACAUGGCAUAAAAAUCAUCAUCAUCAUUAUCAUCAGCGCCACCAUCUUGGCAUUCCUGGGGCUCUUUACUUUUGCGGCUUGGCAUAAAUUAUGACGCUAAUUAAGUGUCUGUGAAGCUGUUAAUAACAAAAUGAAUGGCAAUUAUCAGAAAGGCGCCAAAAAGGAAAGAUAAAAGCUAAAUAGAAAUACUGGAGGCUUGGCUGGGCGGGCCCCCUUAGAUGGCAGGUCCUUCUCUCGGUUAUCGGUUGUGACAUUUGGGCAGCGUUCCGGAGAAAACGAUGGAUUCAAAAUCGAUUUUUUUUCCUAUCUCCCUACCUCCCAAUUGAAAUGAAACAAAAAUAUUGUUUCAUUUUUCCGUUGUUACGAGUAGUUCCGACUUUUUUAAUAUUCAAAUCCUUGCAUAAAUUAAAAUUUGAGUUUAGGAAUGCAUAAAUAAACAUAACAUACCUUCAUUAAACAUGUAUAAUCAAUUUUUCUCUUAAAAUAAAUAACAAUAAAUCCCUUACAUUUUAAAUCAUUCGUUUUCACAGUUUUUCCGUAAAAACUGUCAAUUAAUAACCAUCUAUUUAAAUGACAAUAAUGUUAAUCUACUAAUGUGGCUAACAAAAAAUGCUUAAAUGUGCCAAAUUAACCUCAUAAAUAAUGAUAAUGGGAUACUAUUAAA